CAUAAAUGAUACCAAAAUUACAUCAUGAGCACUCAUUUACUCAUUAUCUCACCCAACAAAUGAAAGAAAAUUGGCCAUUGCAAUUGAUAAUUACAGUAACGUUUACCUUUUUGUUUCUGUGCAAAAUUUAGAAUUGAAGAAGGACAAUCUCAAUUUGCUUGCUGCAACAGGAAAUGGAAGUCAGAUUUUUGACGUAGGAGGGGUGGUGGAUCGACAUCGGAUAUGCUGAUAUCAAGGAAGGAUCGGGACAUCUCUUCAAUUGAGAAAGGAAUUGUUUGAGUAGAUUUAUCAAGUUACCGGGCAGAGUUCAUUCGUGAUCUCAUCUGGUGAUUUUUGAGAUUUUUGAUGCAAAACCUGCAUGGUUUAAGAAUUUGCUUGUUAAUUCUCAAAAUUUAAUCAAGUUUAUCAGCACCUUAUUGAAUUGGGUUCAGAAGAUCUUACCAGAAAUCCUACGGCUUGCCUUAUGUGUUGGAGUUCAUCCCACGACGAUCCAGAAAACUGUAUACAAGAUAAUUGAGUUCGUGCAAACCAGCCUUUACAUAUUCUCCGUUGCUGAAUGAGCAGCACUCACGACGAAGCAGUAAACUGUGAAACAUAGGACGUUGGGUUUUGGAUGCUACACACAUUUUCUAAGGGAAUAUAUUUGGUUCUGGUAUCUGAUUAAGAUUGCAUGGUGGCUGUUGAGAGGUCUAAGGAGCUGCAUACCUGUUAAAAAGCUGGACGUUUAUGAAGGAAAAUACCUGACCAAACAUUUUCCUUGCGAUUAUGCUGGGGACCUGAAGAUACAGCGGCUGGGUUACUAAAUAUUACCUCCAAGUCCUCGUUCUGAAUUGUUAGUUCCUCCACCAUCCUGUUGUCCACAACUGGUACCUCUUUGAUGACUGG